rnacentral:tRNA from 1 species
GCCUGGAUGGUGGAAUAGGUAGACACCCGAGACUUAAAAUCUCGUGAGCCUUGCGCUCGUGCGAGUUCGAUUCUCGCUCCAGGCACCA